GUGAUCACCUCGGCAGCACAUAUAUUAAAACUGGAACGAUACAGAAAAGAUUAGCUUGGGCCCUGCACAAGAAUGGCAUGCA
rnacentral:snRNA from 1 species